rnacentral:rRNA from 1 species
AUUGAACGCUAGCGGCAUGCUUUACACAUGCAAGUCGAACGGAGUGGCGGACGGGUGAGUAAUAUAUCGGAACGUGCCCAUUAGCGGGGGAUAACUACUCGAAAGAGUGGCUAAUACCGCAUACUAUUGGAGCGGCCGAUAUAGGAUUAGCUAGUUGGUGGGGUAACGGCUCACCAAGGCGACGAUCCGUAGCUGGUUUGAGAGGACGAUCAGCCACACUGGGACUGAGACACGGCCCAGACUCCUACGGGAGGCAGCAGUGGGGAAUUUUGGACAAUGGGCGAAAGCCUGAUCCAGCCAUCCCGCGUGUAUGAUGAAGGCCUUCGGGUUGUAAAGUAAUUUUGGCGGAGAAGCGGUAUCUGCAGAAUAAGCACCGGCUAACUACGUGCCAGCAGCCGCGGUAAUUC